rnacentral:rRNA from 1 species
AACGAACGCUGGCGGCAGGCCUAACACAUGCAAGUCGAACGCCCUAGCAAUAGGGAGUGGCGCACGGGUGCGUAACGCGUGGGAAUAUGCCCUUCACUGCGGAAUAACGUUUGGAAACGAACGCUAAUACCGCAUAAUGACUCCGGUCCAAAGAUUUAUCGGUGAAGGAUUAGCCCGCGUUAGAUUAGCUAGUUGGUGAGGUAAUGGCUCACCAAGGCGACGAUCUAUAGCUGGUCUGAGAGGAUGAUCAGCCACACUGGGACUGAGACACGGCCCAGACUCCUACGGGAGGCAGCAGUGAGGAAUAUUGGACAAUGGGCGCAAGCCUGAUCCAGCCAUGCCGCGUGAGUGAAGAAGGGCCUUCGGGUUGUAAAGCUCUUUCAGAUGUGAAGAUAAUGACGGUAGCAUCAGAAGAAGCCCCGGCUAAAUUACGUGCCAGCAGCCGCGGUAAU